rnacentral:rRNA from 1 species
UUUACGGAGAGUUUGAUCCUGGCUCAGGAUGAACGCUGGCGGCGUGCUUAACACAUGCAAGUCGAACGGUGAAGGAGAGCUUGCUUUCUGGAUCAGUGGCGAACGGGUGAGUAACACGUGAGCAAUCUGCCCCUGACUCUGGGAUAAGCGCUGGAAACGGCGUCUAAUACUGGAUAUGAGCCGCAGCCGCAUGGUUAGUGGUUGGAAAGAUUUUUUGGUCAGGGAUGAGCUCGCGGCCUAUCAGCUUGUUGGUGAGGUAAUGGCUCACCAAGGCGUCGACGGGUAGCCGGCCUGAGAGGGUGACCGGCCACACUGGGACUGAGACACGGCCCAGACUCCUACGGGAGGCAGCAGUGGGGAAUAUUGCACAAUGGGCGGAAGCCUGAUGCAGCAACGCCGCGUGAGGGAUGACGGCCUUCGGGUUGUAAACCUCUUUUAGCAGGGAAGAAGCUUUCGGGUGACGGUACCUGCAGAAAAAGCACCGGCUAACUACGUGCCAGCAGCCGCGGUAAUACGUAGGGUGCAAGCGUUAUCCGGAAUUAUUGGGCGUAAAGAGCUCGUAGGCGGUUUGUCGCGUCUGCUGUGAAAUCCCGAGGCUCAACUUCGGGUCUGCAGUGGGUACGGGCAGACUAGAGUGCGGUAGGGGAGAUUGGAAUUCCUGGUGUAGCGGUGGAAUGCGCAGAUAUCAGGAGGAACACCGAUGGCGAAGGCAGAUCUCUGGGCCGUAACUGACGCUGAGGAGCGAAAGGGUGGGGAGCAAACAGGCUUAGAUACCCUGGUAGUCCACCCCGUAAACGUUGGGAACUAGUUGUGGGGUCCAUUCCACGGAUUCCGUGACGCAGCUAACGCAUUAAGUUCCCCGCCUGGGGAGUACGGCCGCAAGGCUAAAACUCAAAGGAAUUGACGGGGACCCGCACAAGCGGCGGAGCAUGCGGAUUAAUUCGAUGCAACGCGAAGAACCUUACCAAGGCUUGACAUAUACAGGUAACGGCUGGAAACAGUCGCCCCGCAAGGUCUGUAUACAGGUGGUGCAUGGUUGUCGUCAGCUCGUGUCGUGAGAUGUUGGGUUAAGUCCCGCAACGAGCGCAACCCUCGUUCUAUGUUGCCAGCACGUUAUGGUGGGAACUCAUGGGAUACUGCCGGGGUCAACUCGGAGGAAGGUGGGGAUGACGUCAAAUCAUCAUGCCCCUUAUGUCUUGGGCUUCACGCAUGCUACAAUGGCCGGUACAAAGGGCUGCAAUACCGUGAGGUGGAGCGAAUCCCAAAAAGCCGGUCCCAGUUCAGAUUGAGGUCUGCAACUCGACCUCAUGAAGUCGGAGUCGCUAGUAAUCGCAGAUCAGCAACGCUGCGGUGAAUACGUUCCCGGGUCUUGUACACACCGCCCGUCAAGUCAUGAAAGUCGGUAACACCUGAAGCCGGUGGCCCAACCCUUGUGGAGGGAGCCGUCGAAGGUGGGAUCGGUAAUUAGGACUAAGUCGUAACAAGGUAGCCGUACCGGAAGGUGCGGCUGGAUCACCUCCUUUCUAAGGA